rnacentral:rRNA from 1 species
AUACGUAGGGUGCGAGCGUUGUCCGGAAUUACUGGGCGUAAAGAGCUCGUAGGUGGUUUGUCGCGUCGUCUGUGAAAUUCCGGGGCUUAACUCCGGGCGUGCAGGCGAUACGGGCAUAACUUGAGUACUGUAGGGGAGACUGGAAUUCCUGGUGUAGCGGUGAACUGCGCAGAUAUCAGGAGGAACACCGGUGGCGAAGGGGGGUCGCUGGGCAGUAACUGACGCUGAGGAGCGAAAGCAUGGGUAGCGAACAGGAUUAGAUACCCUGGUAGUCCAUGCCGUAAACGGUGGGCGCUAGGUGUAGGGGUCUUCCACGACUUCUGUGCCGUAGCUAACGCAUUAAGCGCCCCGCCUGGGGAGUACGGCCGCAAGGCUAAAACUCAAAUGAAUUGACGGGG